rnacentral:rRNA from 1 species
UCGAACGGGGAUGCUUAUGGAAGGAGUGCUUGCACUUUGGAAAUGAGUAUCUUAGUGGCGGACGGGUGAGUAACGCGUGGGUAACCUGCCCCAUACCGGGGGAUACCACCUGGAAACAGGUGCUAAUACCGCAUAAGCGCACGGGAGCGCAUGCUCCUGUGUGAAAAACUCCGGUGGUAUGGGAUGGACCCGCGUCUGAUUAGCCAGUUGGCAGGGUAACGGCCUACCAAAGCGACGAUCAGUAGCCGGCCUGAGAGGGUGGACGGCCACAUUGGGACUGAGACACGGCCCAAACUCCUACGGGAGGCAGCAGUGGGGAAUAUUGCACAAUGGGGGAAACCCUGAUGCAGCGACGCCGCGUGAGUGAAGAAGUAUUUCGGUACCUAAAGAUCUAUCAGCAGGAACGAGACAAGACAAAAAAAAACUAAGAAGCCCCGGCUAACUACGUGCCAACAGCCGCGGUAAUACGUAGGGGGCAAGCGUUAUCCGGAAUCACUGGGUGUAAAGGGAGCGUAGACGGCUGAGCAAGCCUGAAGUGAAAGGCGGGGGCCCAACCCCCGGACUGCUUUGGGAACUGUACGGCUGGAGUGCAGGAGAGGUAAGUGGAAUUCCUAGUGUAGCGGUGAAAUGCGUAGA